ensembl:lncRNA
UCUUGGUCUCGCUGACUUCGGGAGCGAAGCUACAGACCUUCAGGAAAUAUGUAGAAUGAGAAUCUUCCUGUACAAACCCUGGCUGACUGGAUUCAGGUGGAAGUUGAUGAUGAUAAUGAUAAACCUGCUCUCAAACCUCAUCUUAUCAUUCUGCUGUGGCCUGAAGAUAUCAUUGAAUUACUCUGGUGAUUCUAGGUAGAUAGCAAUGCUAGGCAUUCAUGUCUGAAGAUUCGUUUCUUUGCAGCAAUGAAUUUCAGAAGAGUUUCGUGUCUUCUUGGCAUCAUAAGUAUAUAAAGUUGGAGGAAUCAUUGAAUUUUCCUUCAUCUCCUCCAUGCUGCUGCCCACUUCUCACAGAAGGUGGAAGACCAGCCCUUAAAUUGGCUUAACUGCUGACUGCUCUGUGAGAGGCCUCCUGGAAGACUGGUGUCAGACUCAGGUAGGAAUCCAUCUACUGCCAUGUGCAAGAAAAGAAAACUACCUUUUAAUAUGCUCAAAUGCUAAUGCAGAGGAAUAGAGAGGGAAAAUGGAAGAAAGUUUGUUUUAAAUUUACUAUGAAUAGAUGUAAACCUGACUAGCUGGUGUGAACCAGCUACACUCAAACAGUGUUCUAAAUAAGGAGUGAAAUGGUGCAACAACUAAUAUUCUGGAAGGCCAUAUUUAAAUCCAGUGUACAGAUAUUUCAAGUUUUCAUGUCCCUCUAUGCUUAUCUGUUUGGAUAUGAAAAAGAAAUGAAUUGACAUCAUUUUUGCCUACUGCUUUUUAUUGGACUAUGUUUUUUAAAAUUAUGAUAAUUGAAAGCUAAGCAAAUUUAUAUAAUCGUGAAGUGCAUUUUUUCUUUUUUUUUGAGACGGAGUCUCGCUCUGUUGCCCAGGCUGGAGUGCAGUGGCAUAUCUCGACUCACUACAACCUCCGCUUCCUGGAUUCAAGCAAUUGUCCUGCCUCAGCCUCCCAAGUAGCUGAGACUACAAGCGCCUGCCACCAUGCCUGGCUAAUUUUUUGUAUUUUUAGUAGAGACUAAAAAUAGUUGGCCAGGUUGGUCUCGAACUCCUGACCUCAUGAUCUGCCCACCUCAGGCUCCCAAGAGGUAAUAUUUUUAAAAGAGAUGGAAAGAUGUCAUGUAGAGCAGUAACAUAUUCUAAAAAGAUUGAGAAACAAAUAAAGGAAUGAUCAAGCUAGCUAAGGCAAGCCUGCAACAUUGGUCUUAGAAUAGAGAAGAUCACAAGAGAUGAGUUGAUUCCUACCUUGUCACUGUCUAGCUGUAAGCAUUUGAUCAAGUCAUUUAACUUUUAGAUCAUCACUGUCCAAUCAAAUGUAAUUCAAGUCACAAAUGUCUUUUUAGAUUUUUAGUGGCUCCAUUAAAAAAUGGGUAAAGUUAAUUUAAAAAUAUAAUUUAGUUAACCCAAAAUAUACAAAAUAUUAUCAUGUUGACUUACAAUCAAUUUAAAAAUUAUUUAUGAGAUAUUUUACAUUUUUCAUAUUAAAUUUUCAAAACCCAGUGAGUAUUUUACACUUACAGCACAUCUUUAUUUGGACUAACCACAUUUCAGGUGC